AAAGUGAAAACCAAAUCAGAACUGCUAUGUAUAGAACGAAGACCAACGAGAAGAAUACAAACGGAGAGUAGAUCCAGAAAACGUUAGUCGAAUCGGAUUUAAAAAUACGGGGGAGGGGGGAAUAGUAAAUAUUGAUCGGGACAACUACGUUAGAUAUACGUCUCUAAGCUAAAUUAGAGCUAGAAAAAAGAAGACUACUUUUGAAUUCCGGUAUCAUUUGUGUUUUGGGUUUUCCCUGACAGUGAACAAGUUUUCGACUAGAAUACUUGUUCCGAUCGAAAAUUUCAAUAAAAAAAAAAAUUGAUUUCGAUCUAUACAGGAUGAUCAAUCAUGAGACACCCAUUACUUCGGAAAGUAUUGACUUUUUUAGGAAUUUAUUUUAUAAAACAAAAACACAGGCAGCUCUACAAUUUUACAUUUAUGUUAUUCUGUAUCACCCUUAUUUAUUUAGGUAAAACUACUACAUACUUU